rnacentral:rRNA from 1 species
CCUUACACAUGCAAGUCGAACGGCAGCAUGAUCUAGCUUGCUAGAUUGAUGGCGAGUGGCGAACGGGUGAGUAAUACAUCGGAACGUGCCCUGUAGUGGGGGAUAACUAGUCGAAAGAUUAGCUAAUACCGCAUACGACCUGAGGGUGAAAGUGGGGGACCGCAAGGCCUCAUGCUAUAGGAGCGGCCGAUGUCUGAUUAGCUAGUUGGUGAGGUAAAGGCUCACCAAGGCGACGAUCAGUAGCUGGUCUGAGAGGACGAUCAGCCACACUGGGACUGAGACACGGCCCAGACUCCUACGGGAGGCAGCAGUGGGGAAUUUUGGACAAUGGGGGCAACCCUGAUCCAGCAAUGCCGCGUGUGUGAAGAAGGCCUUCGGGUUGUAAAGCACUUUUGUCCGGAAAGAAAUCGCACUUACUAAUAUUAGGUGUGGAUGACGGUACCGGAAGAAUAAGGACCGGCUAACUACG